rnacentral:rRNA from 1 species
GACGAACGCUGGCGGCGUGCUUAACACAUGCAAGUCGAACGGAAAGGCCCGGCUUUUGUGGGGUGCUCGAGUGGCGAACGGGUGAGUAACACGUGAGUAACCUGCCCUUGACUUUGGGAUAACUUCAGGAAACUGGGGCGAAUACCGGAUAGGAUCUUCUGCUGCAUGGUGGGGGUUGGAAAGUGUCGGCGGUGGGGGAUGGACUCGCUGCUUAUCAGCUUGUUGGUGGGGUAGUGGCGUCCCAAGGGUUUGACGGGUAGCCUGCCUGAGAGGGUGCACGGCCACCUGGGGCCUGCGAUACGGCCCAGAAUCCUACCGGCCGCAGUAGUGGGGAGUAUUGCACAGUGGGCGGGAGCCUGAUGCAGAAGCGCUCCGUGCGGGAUGCUGGCCUUCGGGUUGUAAACAGAUUUCGAAUGUGACGAAGAGUGAGUGACGGUAAUGGGUCAAGAAGCACCGGCUAACUACGUG